GAUGAAGAACGUAGCGAAAUGCGAUACGUAAUGUGAAUUGCAGAAUUCAGUGAAUCAUCGAAUCUUUGAACGCAUAUUGCGCUCUUUGGUAUUCCGAAGAGCAUGCUUGUUUGAGUAUCAGUAAACACCUCAAAGCUUUUGGAUUUUUUAAUCGAAAAGCUUUGGACUUGAGCAAUCCCAACACCAAUCUUUUUGAGAUCGGUGGCGGGUUGCUUGAAAUGCAGGUGCAGCUGGACAUUCUCCUGAGCUAAAAGCAUAUUCAUUUAGUCCCGUCAAACGGAUUAUUACUUUUGCUGCAGCUAACAUAAAGGGAGUUUGACCGUAUUGGCUGACUGAUGCAGGAUUUCACAAGGGUCGGCAACGAUUCUUGUUAACCUCGAUCUCAAAUCAAGUAAGACUACCCGCUGAACUUAAGCAUAUCAAUAAGCGGAGGA
rnacentral:misc_RNA from 1 species